CUGCAUCCUCCUAGGUUUCUUCUGUUGAAAUAUAAAAGGCAAGCUAUAACUGAGGAACCCAGCUAGUGGAACCACUUGGACUUUAAUCACUUUUUACUUCACUUGGGGGUCAAGAGAUAAUCCAAACAGAAGGCCCCAGACUUCUGGAAUAUGCAAAGUGUGGCAAAUAUUGACACUGACUCAAUGAAUGCAGAUCAACAUGAGACAGUGGAGAAGGAUGAUGGAUCCCCACAAAGACAAGCCCACCUGGAUUGUGGUAAUGAGACACUAAGCUGACAAACACCACCAAAAUGUCAAUUUCAGCUGCAAACUGCUCAGGACAACUUCAAAUCUGCUAGCUGAAAGGGUCCAGCCUCACAGAAUACUCUAGCCAGGACUUCAGAUAAGCUCUACACUUUCUCAUUCCACAGUGACUGCAUAACAAAUGUUACAGCUAAUUUUCUCAGGAUUUGACCAUUAUUUCUAUUUUCUCAGGGUCCCCUGAAGAUGCCACCACCCAAAGACUACAGGAAGUAAUUUUAGGAACACAACACCCACUUUCCCAAAAGGUGGGGUGGGUAGUCUUUAGUCACUUGUGGAUUAUAGAUGUUUAUCAUCAUUUAGGGGGAGUUGGUUGAAAAUUGUUACUGGUCAUAGUCAUGGAAGAAACUAAGCAAAGAAGAUUAGAGUUAGGGCUCUCAUUCUAAAAAGAAAAAGGGGGAUAAAAUAGGCAUGUUAGGAUAAAAGGGUAGAUUAUUGAACCUACUUUUAAACUAAAAAUGCAAUUGCUAGUCUUAAAUAUUUUACAUUAGUAAAAUAUUUUGUAUAUUGACACACAUUUUUUAUGUAAUUAAACCUCAAUUUCUUAAAUAAUCAACAACAAUAAUAAGAACAAAUAAUUCCAACCACGGACAAUUUUAUGGACUCCAAAAGAUAAAUUAAUGUACAUAUAAGAACUUCAACGUGUGAGUGCACUAAAUGCUGGGCACUGUCAAAUCACAUCCUAGCCCAACUGUUUGGCACUGUCAAACUACCACAUAUCAGCCCAACCAACUGACACAGGUCUGUGUUCUGACUGAGAUAAUCUGACCAAGAUAAUUUGCUGUAAGACCAUUGUUAAAAUUUGCUUUAUAAUGUCUGGAUUUCUUGCCUUAUUUCACUAAACAGCCCAUUAAAUACCAUUGCAAUGUUUUCAACAGCAUUUUUCUAAGUCCUGUAGCACUAAGAAGCCCACUCAGCAAUGCUUGACAUAAAGCCUGAUGAUGUUUCUGAUUUCCCUAAAGUUUUCUUUGGGAAUUUUUUAAUUCACAAAUUUAAGGUUAUUUUUGUUACACUGUAUAUGUGUUUCUACUUUUAAGGUAUUUUUGUAUAUUGACACAAAUUUAAGGCUAUUUUUGUUAUACUGCAUAUAUGUUUCUACUCUUUUUUAAGUUAUAGUACUUUUGCAGCUCAUGUAACAAUGCAGUGUAAAUUUCUAGCCAUUGAACGGUAUUAUUAUAAACUACUUAGGAUAAUUAAAAAAUACAGGUUAGUAGUUAGUCAUCUAACAAUCAAAUUUGUGGCAAUGUUAGUUAUGUUUUCAAGGCCAAAUAGAGAUACAUUUUAGAUAGACAGAUGUUCUUUAAACACUUCAGGGACCUACAGAAUAUGGCAUUUAAAAUAUUUUAACAACAUAAGGCUUCUCAUGACAAUGAGAUAUGCUUGUCCCUGGCAGCAGCAAUUUACUUCAAAAAAAGGAUGAUGGGCAUUGAAUGGCCUCCAUAUGGAGUUGUUUUCAUUGUGGCAAAGCCAGCCAUCUGUUCAAGAAGCUGUCUGUGUCUCAACUGCUGACAGUAUACUGCCCAAAUUGAACAAGCAGGACACAAAAGCAAGUGACUGUUCAACUUUGCUAAGACAAGGUGGGACAGUCCUUUGAAAUCCCCCCUUAACAAAAAAAGUCUGUCAGAUGUUCUAUACCUUAGGCCAAAGAUGGAUACCCCAAUGUUACAGGGAAAACCUGGGUGACUGUCCAGGAAGCCAGGUGUCUCUCAUUUCUAUAGUUCUGGAAUUUUUUUUUUGCUCUAUACUUCCUGUUUACUCAGAUAAUAUUAUAUCCUUCUUCAGUCUUUGAUGGUUUGAAGACUAGAUAGUUAUAGUUACAGUUUUUCUUGUUACUAAAUUCAGAAAAGAAACUCACAAAAGUAGUGUAAAGUGUAUAAGAUUGAGAGAUAUAAAAGCAUAAAUUGUUUAUCUACAAUAAUGUUUAGAAGUCUAAAAAUAGUGUUUUGGGUUGGUAAUACAAGUUAGGAUACAAAGUGAAUUAAACACAAAACUUUGGACUCACCAAGAUAGGAUAGAUAAUGGAGUAUUUUCUCUGAACUUGCCAAAUGCAAAUGGACUGGACUUUCUGGUAAUUGUUCUUAUUGCAUAUAGUUUACUGUUAGAGUUAAAAACCUUCCUUUUUAUUUAGACAAAAAGGGAGAUAUGUGGGAUAUUUUGAUUACACUCUGACACUCCUAAGACUGUCAGUAAAAUUUACCUUGAAUCAGAGGGCAGAGCUAGCUACUAACUGACCCAAAUUAGCAAUAGAGAUUUUGGAGGACUGAGGACAUAUAGAGAGAUAAAGGAAGUAGUAGGGAAGGUUUUAGAAAGAGUCUUGGCCCUCCUUUGGAUCCAGGGAGGAGAGAGAGGAGGUCACUGGUUGCUUCUCUGUCAUUUCUUAAUCAAUCAGUUCUCACCCCAAUAUCUGACUCCUGAGUGUUUUAUUGAUAAAGAAUAAUUAGAUAAAUGCUCCACAGCUGUUAUGAGAGAACAAGAAAUGUAGAGGCGGGUGAGAAGAAAUAGGUUACUUGAUGCAAAUCACAGCCAGAUAAUUUAUAGUAGUACAAUGAUGAUAGAAUUCAACAAAGCUUGAUAAGAGGAUUUCUAAUGUUCUCAACACAAAUAAAAGAUAGAUAUUGGAGAUGUCAAAUAACAUAAACAUCUUGAAUUGAUAAUGGUACAGAUAUACUGAAUAUGAUAAUGUAUAAAAUAUACUGAAUCAUGCAUGACACUUUACUCCUAAAAGUUAUGUA